rfam:Gossypium hirsutum cultivar TM-1 chromosome 2, whole genome shotgun sequence
AACCUAUGGUGAGGGCAUCUUUGCAAAAGGUCCUUAUAUGUCUCCCAUGCAUUGUAGAGUGUUUCUAAAGCCAUCUGCACAAAAGAAGAGAUAUCAUUACGUAAUUU